GCUCGGGUGGCGGAAUUGGCAGACGCGCUAGCUUGAGGUGCUAGUGGGGCGACCCGUGCGGGUUCGAGUCCCGCCUCGAGCACCA
rnacentral:tRNA from 1 species